UACGAAGGGUGCAAGCGUUAUUCGGAAUUACUGGGCGUAAAGCGUGCGUAGGUGGUGAUUUAAGUCUGUCGUGAAAGCCCCGGGCUCAACCUGGGAAUGGCGAUGGAUACUGGCUCGCUAGAGUGCGGUAGAGGAGAGUGGAAUUCCCGGUGUAGCAGUGAAAUGCGUAGAGAUCGGGAGGAACAUCAGUGGCGAAGGCGGCUCGCUGGACCAGCACUGACACUGAGGCACGAAAGCGUGGGGAGCAAACAGG
rnacentral:rRNA from 1 species